rnacentral:misc_RNA from 1 species
GGUUGGAACCAUGUCGCAGGCGAGGGGUCUGGCGCAUUUCUUUCUUCACCACGAACAAGUAUGAGUGGGUGUCGAGCUCCGCGACCGCACUGACGAUGCAGCCCGUGUCUUUGCCGAUGUUCUUCGUAUGGAUGCGCGGGUUGCCCUUAGCGGCGCACAUCAUGAGCGACCCUUUGCGUCGGGAUUCGUCGACGUCGUCAUCGCUGCCGUCAACCAAUGGACCCCGGCGAUGGACCCGGCACUGCUUCUGCCAUCGCCUCUGCUGGGGACGGUCGUCGGCAGCCGACGCGAAGAUCUGCCGGUGCCUUGUUCAUUCACCA